AACGAACGCUGGCGGCAUGCCUAACACAUGCAAGUCGAACGAGACCUUCGGGUCUAGUGGCGCACGGGUGCGUAACGCGUGGGAACCUGCCCUUAGGUUCGGAAUAACUCCCCGAAAGGGGUGCUAAUACCGGAUAAUGUCUUCGGACCAAAGAUUUAUCGCCUUUGGAUGGGCCCGCGUUGGAUUAGCUAGUUGGUAGGGUAAAAGCCUACCAAGGCGACGAUCCAUAGCUGGUCUGAGAGGAUGAUCAGCCACACUGGGACUGAGACACGGCCCAGACUCCUAGGGAAGCAGCAGUGGGGAAUAUUGGACAAUGGGCGAAAGCCUGAUCCAGCAAUGCCGCGUGAGUGAUGAAGGCCUUAGGGUUGUAAAGCUCUUUUACCCGGGAUGAUAAUGACAGUACCGGGAGAAUAAGCUCCGGCUAACUCCGUG
rnacentral:rRNA from 1 species